UACACUCCUGCGGGAGGCAGCAGUGGGGAAUUUUGGACAAUGGGCGAAAGCCUGAUCCAGCAAUGCCGCGUGAGUGAAGAAGGCCUUCGGGUUGUAAAGCUCUUUUGUCAGGGAAGAAACGGUGAGAGCUAAUAUCUCUUGCUAAUGACGGUACCUGAAGAAUAAGCACCGGCUAACUACGUGCCAGCAGCCGCGGUAAUACGUAGGGUGCAAGCGUUAAUCGGAAUUACUGGGCGUAAAGCGUGCGCAGGCGGUUUUGUAAGUCUGAUGUGAAAUCCCCGGGCUCAACCUGGGAAUUGCAUUGGAGACUGCAAGGCUAGAAUCUGGCAGAGGGGGGUAGAAUUCCACGUGUAGCAGUGAAAUGCGUAGAUAUGUGGAGGAACACCGAUGGCGAAGGCAGCCCCCUGGGUCAAGAUUGACGCUCAUGCACGAAAGCGUGGGGAGCAAACAGGAUGAGAAACCCUGGUAGUCCCA
rnacentral:rRNA from 1 species